rnacentral:tRNA from 1 species
AAAAAGAUAAGCUAAUUAAGCUAAUGGGUUCAUACCCCAUAUAUAAAGGUCCUAAUCCUUUUCUUUUUA